rnacentral:rRNA from 1 species
UACGGAGGGUGCAAGCGUUGCUCGGAAUUAUUGGGCGUAAAGGGUAGGUAGGUGGUCUCAUUUGUCUGGGGUGAAAGCCUUGAGCUUAACUCAAGAAGUGCCCCAGAAACGGUGAGACUCGAGUCCUAGAGAGGGUCGUGGAAUUCCCGGUGUAGCGGUGAAAUGCGUAGAGAUCGGGAGGAACACCAGAGGCGAAGGCGGCGACCUGGAUAGGUACUGACACUCAACUACGAAAGCGUGGGGAGCAAACAGG